CCUGACGCUGUGGUGACUCCGCCGCGCCUCGCCGUCGCCCCUGUCCCCGUCCUGCCCGCCGCCUCCGCCGCUGGGGACAUGUCCAACCCCGGAAGCCGGAGGAACGGGCCCGUCAAGCUGCACCUGACAGAUGUCUCACUAACUUCAGGAAACCUGAUAGCUUUUGGACUUCCUGAUCCAUUUGCUAAGGUGGUGGUUGAUGGAUCUGGGCAAUGCCAUUCUAUAGAUACUGUGAAGAAUAUGCUCGAUCCAAAGUGGAAUCAGCAUUAUGACCUGUAUAUUGAAAAGUCUGAUUCAGUUACAAUCAGUGUAUGGAAUCACAAGAAGAUCCAUAAGAAACAAGGUGCUGGAUUUCUCCGUUGUGUUCAUCUUUUUCCAGUGCCAUCAACCACCUCAAAGACACUGGUUAUCAGAGGUUGGAUUUAUGCAAACCUGGGCCAAAGGACAGUUAGAAGACGUAAGUCUUCAGUCCAGAGACCAAAUUGGUACAGGAAGACAAGUUAUGGACUGCAGUCAUUUAUUUGAUAAUGAUUUACCAGAC
ensembl:lncRNA novel transcript